rnacentral:lncRNA from 1 species
AUGCCUGCCCCCAGAGGGCGCUCUUUGUUAGGAGAGGUCUUAUCACUCGGUUUCUCUGGUUCUGGAAGCAGAGAGGAAGCACCUGGGUUAUCUAGAGCACUGUGGGGUGUGCCUGUGGCUCUUGAUUGCAAGUGGAAGAAAGCAGUCUGCAAAACGCCACUUAAGCUUCAAAGAGCUAUUGAAGCCUUGUGUCCCUGGAAGGCUAUUUUCAUUUUAAGGAAAGGCUUGUGGAACAGGAGGAAUUCCAUUAAUAGACUUCAGUCUGAAAGAAAUUAACCCCCUGGAUUAUUCCUCACUAUGGCACCAAGAAGAAACCACAGGUCUCCCUGUCCAUCUCAACCGCCUUCUCCCCCAAGAGCCUCUGAGAGCCAGUUUGAGGUAUGACUGACAUUAUAAAUUUUUCUAAUGCAAUUGAAAUGGAACAAAACCAUAACAUCAAAAUACUCUCCAAACCCAAUCUGACCCAACCUGAUAUUUCACUUGGUUUGAGUCCCUGGUGUAAAAAAAAAAUUUUUUUGAGUCAUACUUUGAAUGCACUGUAGAGUUCUGCUAUUUCAAAAAGAAAUUCUAUAGUGAAUGCUUAGAAAAACAUUUUUGUGAAAUGAAUUCUCUUCCUCCGAUCUGCUUGUUUUGAAAACAUCUGUUUGGGAAUCUGAUUUGCUUGAAGAAUCUGGCUCUUGGUAGGCUUUGAUAUGAGGAUGAGGCAAAGCUUGGUAUAGCUGAUGCUGUUUUGGCUCCUAGCAUCUACAACUACAUCAACAUGACGAUCUUGCUGAAGUGGUUAAAUUAGAAUUUGUGUAUGCAAUUUGGAUCAUAAAUGGGGUGAUUUAACCUUUUUUUACAAAGACAUCUGAGCCGGCGCCGCGGCUCACUAGGCUAAUCCUCUGCCUUGCGGCGCUGGCACACCGGGUUCUAGUCCCGGUCGGGGCGCCGGAUUCUGUCCCGGUUGCCCCUCUUCCAGGCCAGCUCUCUGCUGUGGCCAGGGAGUGCAGUAGAGGAUGGCCCAAGUGCUUGGGCCCUGCACUCCAUGGGAGACUAGGAGAAGUACCUGGCUCCUGCCAUCAGAUCAGCAUGGUGUGCCGGCCGCAGUGCGCCGGCCGCGGCAGCCAUUGGCGGGUGAACCAACGGCAUAGGAAGACCUUUCUCUCUGUCUCUCUCUCUCUCACUUUCCACUCUGCCUGUCAAAAAAAAAAAAAAAAAAAAAGACAUCUGGAGAAGUUGACAUUUUAUGCUUUCCACACUUAGAAAUCUUAGGAACUUGAAGAAGCCAAAAUUAUCCCAUUCGUUUUGUGUGCAUCAGGGCUGCGCUGCUCCUGUCUCUCUCACCACGGGCACACCAGCAGCAUUUCUGGAGAGAAACCUCCACCAAAGGGCAGGCGACUGGGCUGUCUCUAUACCUCACCCUGGGAGAGCUGUGCAUCCUUUAGAGAACUUGCUGUCUCCAGCUCCCCAGCCCUUCUCAUGGAAGCAAAAUAGCACCUUCAUUUUUUCCUAAUAAAAUGAAAAAGAACCCUGUAAGUCA